UACGAGGGGUGCAAGCGUUGCUCGGAAUUAUUGGGCGUAAAGGGUAGGUAGGUGGUCUCAUUUGUCAGGGGUGAAAUCCUUGGGCUUAACCCAAGAAGUGCCCUUGAAACGGUGAGACUGGAGUCUUGGAGAGGGUCGUGGAAUUCCCGGUGUAGCGGUGAAAUGCGUAGAGAUCGGGAGGAACACCAGAGGCGAAGGCGGCGACCUGGACAAGUACUGACACUCAACUACGAAAGCGUGGGUAGCAAACAGG
rnacentral:rRNA from 1 species